GUUUUGCCGCGGCGAGGUGCACGUGUGGGCGGCGUUCAAAAAGAUUUACGUUUAUUUCACGUUCCUGACCUCGCCCGCCUUUAAAAGGCGGGCGUGACAUCGGAGUUACCACAGUGUGCCUUCCCCAGGUCCUCGUUGCUCCAGGGCGUAGCUCCGUUACCCUGGGGGGCCUAUGGGGGUGCGGGGUACAGGCACCCAUCGCUCCGGGACACCUUGCCUCAGUGCUCAUCUCUGUCAAAUUAAAGACUCAAGAGCUGUGUGAAGAAGCUGAGCAGCGUCUCCCUGGCCUGGGCGUGGAGUGAGCUGGUCCCCUCAUCACCAGCACCAUAGACCAGGGGAUGAGGUGCUCCUGGGCGGACCAGAGGAUGUCCACUGUGCUGGUGAGUGGCCUGACCCUUG